UGGAGACCCAAGAUGGAGUGGUGUUUUGCCCGUUUUGUGGCAAACAUAUGAGCCGAUUAACGUGAUUUAGUUUUUCGUGUGGUCAGUCUGUAGAGUUUUUAAAUGGCGCAGACCAGACGGAAGGACCAAGCGCACAGGGGGCAUCUCAACAGCCGGAUAAUGCUAAACAAACAGAAUAACCUUGCCCAUCAUAUAAACAGUUCCUGGAGUACAGAGGCUCAAAGUCCAAAGAGCGUCAGUCUUUUAACUAUGGGCCGAGAGGAAAACAUCGGGCUAAAGAACGAAAACACGUCCAGUGGAUGAUACCUCAGACUCUGAUUCUGAAAUUGUCAUCGCAUCAAGGAGCACAGCUGAAUUAAAUCGAGCUGACACAGUGAGAUGUAUCGGGACAUUCAGCAACAAUUCGGCCUGGUCAGAUAGUAAUAUCUGAUGCUGAGGAUAUGGAUCCAUCUGAAACAAAGAGACUUGCUAAAGUAAAUACACGGACCUGUAUGCACCAGGUGUUGAGGAAGAGGAUGAGGAGCUGGUUGCAGUCAAUGUGGAGAAUUUCCAACACACAGCAGUGGAGGAGAUGGACAUUACACUACCUGACAUUGUAGCAAACCUGUCGCUUCCUAUUGAUCACAAAAGAGUCAGCAGUUUCAACAUCUCAAGGGCUGAUGUUUGGGAUGGAGCUGUCAGAGGUUUCAAGUGUAAAACAUAUUCUGAAACCUGUGACAUGCUGGUCUGAUUUACUGAUGAUGCUGGUGUUUUUGAGGAGGGAAUUGACACAGGUAGUCCAAGACGAGACUUUUUAACUUUGCUAAUGAAACACCUGAAAGACCGGCCCAUUUUUGAUGGACCAGAAGGACAUCGGUUCUUGGUCUACAAUGCAAAUGGUAUGCAUAGGGUUAGAUGUGUGCUAUACUAAUGGUUGGUUAAUGAUCAUUAA
ensembl:lncRNA